rnacentral:rRNA from 1 species
UACGGGGGGCGCAAGCGUUGUUCGGAUUUACUGGGCGUAAAGGGCGCGUAGGCGGCCACCGCAAGUCGACUGUGAAAUCUCCGGGCUUAACCCGGAAAGGUCAGCCGAUACUGCGGGGCUAGAGUGCAGAAGGGGCAACUGGAAUUCUCGGUGUAGCGGUGAAAUGCGUAGAUAUCGAGAGGAACACCUGCGGCGAAGGCGGGUUGCUGGGCUGACACUGACGCUGAGGCGCGAAAGCGUGGGGAGCAAACAGG